CCGGCACGGGUGCGUAACGCGUAUGCAACCUACCUGUAACAGGGGGAUAACACUGAGAAAUCGGUACUAAUACCGCAUAACACUAUGAGAGGCAUCUCUUGUGGUUGAAAACUCAGGUGGUCAGAGAUGGACAUGCGUUGUAUUAGCUAGUUGGUGAGGUAACGGCUCACCAAGGCGACGAUACAUAGGGGGACUGAGAGGUCAACCCCCCACAUUGGUACUGAGACACGGACCAAACUCCUACGGGAGGCAGCAG
rnacentral:rRNA from 1 species